rnacentral:rRNA from 1 species
AGGGAAUCUUCGGCAAUGGACGGAAGUCUGACCGAGCAACGCCGCGUGAGUGAAGAAGGUUUUCGGAUCGUAAAGCUCUGUUGUAAGAGAAGAACGAGUGUGAGAGUGGAAAGUUCACACUGUGACGGUAUCUUACCAGAAAGGGACGGCUAACUACGUGCCAGCAGCCGCGGUAAUACGUAGGUCCCGAGCGUUGUCCGGAUUUAUUGGGCGUAAAGCGAGCGCAGGCGGUUAGAUAAGUCUGAAGUUAAAGGCUGUGGCUUAACCAUAGUACGCUUUGGAAACUGUUUAACUUGAGUGCAAGAGGGGAGAGUGGAAUUCCAUGUGUAGCGGUGAAAUGCGUAGAUAUAUGGAGGAACACCGGUGGCGAAAGCGGCUCUCUGGCUUGUAACUGACGCUGAGGCUCGAAAGCGUGGGGAGCAAACAGGAUUAGAUACCCUGGUAGUCCACGCCGUAAACGAUGAGUGCUAGGUGUUAGACCCUUUCCGGGGUUUAGUGCCAUAGCUAACGCAUUAAGCACUCCGCCUGGGGAGUACGACCGCAAGGUUG